rnacentral:snRNA from 2 species
AUCUUCGCGCAGUGGCGAUAUCGUAACCAAUGAGGCUCUACCGAGGUGCGAUUAUUGCUAGUUGAAAACUUUAACCAAUACCCCGCCAAGACGAUGUGAAAUACCAUCGGCUACGGCAAUUUUUGCAGACCCUUGCGAGGG